GAUGAACGCUAGCGGGAGGCCUAACACAUGCAAGCCGAGCGGUAUAGAAUCUUCGGAUUUUAGAGAGCGGCGUACGGGUGCGGAACACGUGUGCAACCUACCUUUAUCUGGAGGAUAGCCUUUCGAAAGGAGAUUAAUACUCCAUAAUAUAUUGAUUGGCAUCAAUUAAUAUUGAAAGCUCUGGCGGAUAGAGAUGGGCACGCGCAAGAUUAGUUAGUUGGUGAGGUAACGGCUCACCAAGACGAUGAUCUUUAGGGGCCUGAGAGGGUGAUCCCCACACUGGUACUGAGACACGGACCAGACUCCUACGGGAGGCAGCAGUGAGGAAUAUUGGACAAUGGGUGCAAGCCUGAUCCAGCCAUCCCGCGUGAAGGACGACUGCCCUAUGGGUUGUAAACUUCUUUGUAUAGGGAUAAACCUCUACCUCGUGAGGAGAGCUGAAGGUACUAUACGAAUAAGCACCGGCUAACUCCGUGCCAGCAGCCGCGGUAA
rnacentral:rRNA from 1 species